rnacentral:rRNA from 1 species
GAUGAACGCUGGCGGCGUGCCUAAUACAUGCAAGUCGAGCGAACGGACGAGAAGCUUGCUUCUCUGAUGUUAGCGGCGGACGGGUGAGUAACACGUGGAUAACCUACCUAUAAGACUGGGAUAACUUCGGGAAACCGGAGCUAAUACCGGAUAAUAUUUUGAACCGCAUGGUUCAAAAGUGAAAGACGGUCUUGCUGUCACUUAUAGAUGGAUCCGCGCUGCAUUAGCUAGUUGGUAAGGUAACGGCUUACCAAGGCAACGAUGCAUAGCCGACCUGAGAGGGUGAUCGGCCACACUGGAACUGAGACACGGUCAAGACUCCUACGGGAGGCAGCAGUAGGGAAUCUUCGGCAAUGGGCGAAAGCCUGACGGAGCAACGCCGCGUGAGGGAUGAAGGUCUUCGGAUCGUAAAACUCUGUUAUUAGGGAAGAACAUAUGUGUAAGUAACUGUGCACAUCUUGACGGUACCUAAUCAGAAAGCCACGGCUAACUACGUG